CAGGAGGACAGAGGAAUAUAAGGAAAUCACAACUCAUUUUAACUGUGUGCUGAGCAAGCCUUUUCCUUUACAAGGGAGACAUAGCAUUUGAAGAAGGGUGUCUCCUUUCCACCCAGGUUGAGAGGCCAUCAGUUCUCCAAACACAAUCUUAAUACCUCUCCCAUCUCUCUUUUUCUGCUACAGAAGUUAUUCUCCCCCCACUAGUGUAGGAGGAAGAUGAGAUGGACAGAUAUGGAGACAUCUCAGACAGUAUCCUAGAAAUUAGCAGAAUACCUUUCAUGAUGCUGGGAACGGAUGAAGGACAGAGGGAAUAUGCCAUGGGCCAGGAGUCAGCUUUGUCUGGUGAACAGCAGCCUGAGGGGGGAGAAAGCGGAGUGACUCCAUGUGCAGCUGAUCAGCCUUCAGGGAUUCAGAGGAGAAGGUGCUGAUGAGAACCAACUAGCUUCUUAAGCAGGGCUUCCAGCCUCACUCAGAUGCUGGCAACAACACUUGUUGUUUCUGGCCGAACUUUGCUGUUUCUUGCUCCUCUUGACCUUUGAAAAUCGGAUUCCCUGGACCCUCUGACAAUGUGAAUUGCUGGUUGCUUGACCCUAGGACUCGACCUGACUUUGGAUACGAAUUCUGCCUACAGGCAAGUGCACCUCUGAAAGCAUGGACAUAGCCAGGAUUUAUUUUAGAGGGGCAGAACCAAGUUAUCUGUGACACAAUUGGUCAGUUACAUUUAAGUAUUUUUAUUUAUUUACUUGAUUUGGGGGGGGCAGCUGCCCCCUCUGCCCACGUCUGAGGCUGUCGAUUGGCUGGCCUCCCUCUCCCCUGAGCUCACUCAUUGCUCAACACAAGACUGCGACAAAAGAUCACUAUUUUGCAGAGCUGUUAAUAGAAACUAGACCACUUAGCAUUAGGGUGGCAGGAUGGUGGGGGAGGAGUGAAUUUAAUCAGAAUUUAAUCAGAGCUACUAGUAACUGAGCCCAAUUUUAUGUUAAUAGUUUUGCUUUGAUUCCAUUUUUUGGACUAGACUGUGAUAGAGGGAACAAGGAAAUCAAAACAUGACUAGAGAAAUAAACUCCAAGGCAUUCCAUGUGCAGGAGAAAAUAUAGAGCUCUAGUCCUCUUUCACAGAUGUUUUACAGAUGUUUUACAACUUGUUCUUAUCCCAAAACUCACUCUCCCACAGCUCAGUGUUGCUGAUAUGCUGUUUCAUUUUGGUAGUAAUGGAAAGCUGGCAUGCAUUUAGUAUUUAGUGUUUUACUAUAUUUGAUAUUCACCAUGCAAUGUUGUUUAUUAUCUUACAUCAUAAGGCUUUAUUGCAUGAUGGGUUUUGAAGUAAAAUGGCACAUUCGGAACAAAUUCAAACGUUGAGUGCAAAAUUUACUUCAAAAUUGAGCAGUGAAAUUGUGCCUGGGAAUUUAAUAUGUGCUUACAGAAAUAGAGGUAUUACUACCCCCCCCCAUUUCUUCUAUUCAGCAUGAUACAAAAAUUAUUGCAGUUGUCUACCACAUGAGCAGCUAUGUUGUGUAGUGUCUGGGGGGAAAAAACACCUACUUAUUGUUUAGCCAAGUUCUUUGGUGCAACAUGGUUACCAGAUCAUGGAAGCAUCCCAGAGGGCUGCUUGUCUAGCUCUGUGAAUGUAGGGGUGUACAAAUGCUUUUGAAAUGUGCAGCAGCUUUUGAACCAUUGCAAAGGUUUCACAAAGAAGUCUGCAAAGUAACAUGGGAGUCUGCUUUCCCCUAGUGCUCACCUACAAACCCCACAAAACAACUGCCCAUAAGCAGUCUCUUGGAUGCAGCCCAAGUAAUCCUUAAGAAGUUGCUUUAUUACAGAAAAAAGAAACAUGCAUUCCAAACUACCUGAAAGAUAAACCCAUUGAACAACAAUGAAUAAGCCUAAUAGCGAAGCAUGUCUAAUAUAUAAAAUGAAAGUGGAGCCCAUCUAUCUUGCUAUAGAAAAAGAGAAAAUUACUGGAACUGGAUAAACUACAGUUAGGAAAGUUCGCCCAGUUGUAUUAGCCUCCGCCCUUUGUAAAUGCGGGUCAGAUUUUCAAACACCAUCCACCAAUUGAAACAAAAAUUGGAGUCAUGCCCUCUCUGACCAGCUUGUCAAAGCUUUAAGAAAUUCUGCUGAACUAUGCAGGCCUUUGCCAGACUCAAAAGUAAUCAUAUGUACUACAAGGGCACCAAGGGACACAAAUAGACAAACUGAAAAAGUGUUCCGUGUGGCUCAGGUGUCAGCCUGGGAGAUGAAACCACAAUGCCCUUUAAAACAUUAGUCUGGGGUGGUGGGAGGUGCAGUGCUGUAGGUACAUCCCACAAUGCUAGUUUAACGUUUACAGAACUGUAACCAUGCUGACAGAGUCUUUUUUGCGGAGUUGGUCUCAGAGUGGGGGAUAGACUUGAUUUCUUGCAGCCAAACAGAGGCGAAAUCAAAUGGAUCAGUAGAAAAAGCUACGUUGGAGAAUGAACUCUCAAGCUGAAAAUAAAUGGCAUGCCCUCAAACACUUCGUAGACAAAGCCUGGGAUGUUGUUGCGUGCUUGUAGUUCCUCUAACUCACGCCAAGGAUCACUGCCUGAAUGCCUUCCCAUCUCCCCAUCUCAAAAACAAAAUCAGAAUAUAAAAACGUAAACACAGACAAAUCUAACAAAAGACAGCAUAUCACAUCUACCAACGAUAAUUUAGGUACAUCAUAGCCACAUAUAUAUAUAAUGUUAAGAACUCAUUGUCUCACAUUUUCAUCGAGUUCUGUUCUGUUCCAGGAUCUAAAAAUAAAAACACAUUUCCCAAGGAAUCUCUGUAUGUAUUGGUGAAGGCUCAUUACCUGCUGUGCACAGUAGUGCAGUUAGGUAAUUUUAGACUCAGCCUAGACUUAAUGGUCUUAUGAGGAGUCCCCUCGUUAGAGGUUAAUAUGUUUUGCUUCCACAUGGGGUGAGUCAGCCUCGCUGCAUAUGGAGGGCCCUCUUCAUUCUGCUGAAUGGGGCACUGGAUUUUUGCCCUGAAGUCCUGCCCUGAAAUCACUGCUAGCUGUAUAUUGCAUUUGCUGGCUCCAAAGUUGCCCAUCCUGCAUUGGCUGAAAGCUACAACAACUGAAGAAUGUCAGUAGAAUGUUUAAUCAUUCUAUACCUCUGGGUAUGGGGUGGUAUAUAAAUUCAAUAAAUAAUAAUGAUAAUAAUAGGCCCAAAUUCUAUUGUGCCACUGGGAGCCCUCACCUCCCUUGUGUACAGAUGUUGUGUGUGCUUCAUUCAAUAAUGCCAGCCUGUUUAGUGUGUUCUGAAAAAGAGGCACAGGUACACCUGGUGAGAGGAGUGGUCCAUGAGGUGAUAUGGUUGAUGAUACCUUCCUACACUGCUUGUCCUGCCUUUCUUCUUUGCACUGCCAUGUUCAUGUCCUUUUGCCUAGUACUUUUUAACAGCUGAGAUUCACUGAUCACAUGUGACAGUACGUUGCCUUCCCCAGGUGUGAUGGCAGCUUCCACUUGGCCAAAGAGAAUCUCAAAGCAAUAGCUCUUUCUAAUGACCGACCAAGAGACCACCAGAAAUCGGAAUGUGGUUCUGGGCAUCCUCCUAGCCCAGGCACUGUGAGGGAGGAACUCUCCUCUCUUCCUCCUGCUUUCAUUUUCUUCAUUGCCAUUGAGGAGAGCAUACCCUUCUGGCUUCGACAAAGAAAAUGAGUUGCCUCGAUUCGGUCACUAAAGAAGACUUCAGCCAUUUUUUGAGAGCAGCUCAUGUGAUGCAGGGAGAUGCUUUUUGGGAUGUUGGCUUGCACUUUUCUCCUGUUCAUUGAGCUAAAUAUGAUGGCCUGGGAUUCGGACUCAGAGGCUGAACCUGAGGAAUCCCAGCCUACACAGAAGUCCCCACUUCCAGAACCAGCUGAGCUGGGGCUGGGGCCUGAGCCUGAAGGGUCCUCACCUGUGCUGGAUCCUCAGGUGCAGGCACCAGAUGAGUCUGCUCUAGCCCCAGAGGUGAUGGAGGACCCAUUGCCUGCAGGUGCUCCGCUCUCGGCCCAGGGGAAGAGGAGGUUGCCUCUGGGUCUGGUAACCCUCCAGCCUUUCCUGAGCUGCAGAAGCUCAGGGCAGAGAGGCGGAGGGAACUAAGUUCCCACAGGAGGAGUGCUCCAUGUUUGCUUAGUACGGUAUGUGAACCUGGUCUGGGACCGUAAUAAAUUUCAUUUGUACAACCAGAUAACUUUAACCAUACCAAAUUAUUGUGGAUUUGAAGGCACAGCAAUCUUAAGCACACUCAGUAGGGAGCAAGUCCAGUAGAACCCCAUGGAACUUAUGCCUCAGAAAACAUAUGUAGUAUCUUUCUAGUAGGCUGAAUCCCUACAUCAGGAAGGUGCCACUCGCUUUGGCUUACAUUGUGGGAUUGUAAUUGGGAAUAUCGCUGUACAUUAGAUCACUUACAAUAUUGACACUCAUCCUUUCACAAUCACAUACCCUGCAAAUGUUCCAGAAAAAUCAGGACCAUUCCAUUUUUUAUCAUGAAAAAAUGGCAGCUGUUUUAGUUGCCCUGAUCUCACACGAUUUUGUGGCGCGCUUUCCCCCAUAAAAAGUGUUAUUUUGGGUUGCGAUGCUGCAUGGUAUACCCAAAAUGUGUGUUUUGGGGCACUGUGCCUGGAAAAACACUUUUUCGGGGGGGGGCACGGAGCAUAACUGCACAAGAUCAUGGCAACCAAGAUGGCUGCCGUGCUCUCGUGAUAAAAAUGGGAAGAUGGUGCCCAGAAAGAUGGCAUCCUGGAUUUUGUCUUCAAGGUGUUGGAGGGUAUGCAGUCACACUUUCCAAGGCAGUUUACCACAGAUAAGUGGAGCCGUAGUUAGCAAGACUCUCCCUUCCCCCUAUUUGAAAGCACCAUGUAGGCUGGCCAUGAGAGGGCACCAUAGACUUAACUAUGUCCUUUGAAUGGGAAAAAGAAAUGGUAAAUGAAAGGAGACAAACAAACCAUCCAUAAUUAAAGCAGGGUGGGGAGAAAACAGGGUUUAGGUAUUCCAUUUUUAAGAAUUGACAGUAGUGUUUGGGUAGAUUGGAGGCAGGGAAGAUUUGUCUGGGUGAGUGUUCGCUUGCAUUUUCUUUUCUCAUUGACGCUUCUCUGCGUGGGAAGACAGCCACAAAUAAAACAUUAUCGCCCUCACCCCUUCUCAGGCUGUCAGUUUGCUUCUCCCACUGCUUGAUCCCAGAUUCCAUGGUCUAUGGUGACACAACCAUUAUGUUUCCAAGGUUCACAAAAUAAUAAAUGCUGUGCACCUCUAAUGUGCCACAUGCAAACAGUAUUUAUGGGUGCAUUAUCAAGAGACAAUAUGACUUUUGUUAUUCCUUAACACGCUUUAGCUAGCCGGUUGACUCAUACUUAUACUUUGAAAUUUAAUUAGAUAAAAGCUUGUGUUUUCCCUCCCUUUCUCAUGGCAUCAUAGCAUUGUAGAGUUGGAAGGGAUCGCGAGGGUCAUCCAGUCCAGCCCCUUGCAUUGCAGGUAUCUCAACAUGAGGUCUCCCAUCCAAUUUGAAACCGUACCAGACCCUGCUUUGCUUUGCAAAUGUGCUAGCAGUUUCAUUGCUGCAUUUACAUAUUCAGAGUGUGCUUUUUAUGAGAGCCCAUUUCUGUUUUACAUUUUGCUUGCUUUUUUCCUGGCCACGUGUUGGAAGCCCUUUGUGGGGAAAAUCUGGGCGCCCUUUUCGAUGAUGCUCUACAUCUGUAUUGCCACUUCAGCCUGGGCAAUUAGUAUACUUGAGAGAGAUGUGAAGCUUUAUACUGAAGUGUAUGCAACAGCUUUUUGGCCGUGGUAGGAAAGCCUGGGAACCAGAAUUCACUAGAUGCUUGUGCUGUAGUGAUCAGACACCCCAUCCCAUCUGAACCUAGCUGUGCAUUAGGGUUUAUUUGCCACCCACCUGUUUCUACCUGCAAGGAACUCUUUCUACCUUGUCUGUUAAGGAACCCCUGUGAAAUGCAGAGGAUCAUGGGACCUAUUAUUUCACCGGAACAGGUCUGUUUCUGGGUGUGAGUGGGUUCUCAGGUGGGCCUCCCACCUUGGUGCCCCUUUCCUUACCUGGUAAUGGCAGGUAGGCAGCAACAGCUGUCAUGUUCCAAGGGCUGCAAUGAUGGCAGCCCUCCACGGCGAACCUUUCUGAAGGGGGUACUCAACUAGGUUUUAUGCAAAGUGGACCCAUUGAAAUUAAUGGCCAUGGCUACAUUAAGUCCAUUAAUUUCAAGGGGUUUACACUGAGUAAAACUGAGUUGAAUGCCACUCUAUAUACACCAGCACUGCUGAUACCACUUUGUCCACUUGGCUUUCUAAAGCCAAUCUGUUUAUCUGGUAGGUGGGUGGUUCUUUGCUAGAGAGAGCACUGAGAAAAAUUGCUCAGAGCAUUUUAUUGUUUCAAAAAGUGAUGCAUUUAGAAGUACAUACCUCCUCAAGGUUAGCGGUGGCUUGGAAGCUACAUAAAGAUGGUAGAAAUCCAAAAUAUACACUGUGGAGUAUUUUUCUUUGGACUACACUGUUUAUAUAAAUUGAGUGCAUCUAUUUAAAUAGAGUUUUCUUGUUUAAAUCAAAAGUUCUCAGGUACAUUCCUCACCACCCAUGUUAUUUUAUUUAUUAAAUCUAUAUACCGCUGCUUCAUCCAAGGGUGUUUUACAAUUGCUGUUGCUGAUACUGCAACUGAUGCCACUGAUAAAUUGGGUAGACGGCUGGUGGGCCACUCUAGAAAUUCUUGAAGGCCAUUUCCCCACCCCCUGAUGUAGGGUGCAGAAUUUAAACCAAUCUGAGACCAAACUGGCAUAAUUAGCACUAGUUAAGUCAGAACUACUCAUCCACUUCUCUGUUCAUUUUUGUUUCUCAGAAUUCUGGUUAGAAUAGUUGCUCACUGUCAGUAAAUAUUUGAAUUGAAUUACCCUAUAGUCCAGGCAUAGGCAAACUCAGCCCUCCAGAUGUUUUGAGACUACAUUUCCCAUCAUCCCUGACCACAGGUCCUGUUAGCUAGGGAUGAUGGGAGUUGUAGUCCCAAAACAUCUGGAGGGCCGAGUUUGCCUAUGCCUGCUUUAGUCAGUAUUGUGAUGAUAUCACCCUUUCUGUAUGAUAUGUGAUUGGUUCUACCAUGUGAUUUUUUUUUUUAAAAAAAAUUACUCAUCCUCAGUGAUUUCCUGUUUGCAGGCUUCCCAUUGGCAUGUGAUUCACCCCUGUCAGAACAGGAUAUGUCAGUGUGAUAACAUAAUGACAUCCAUCCGGUAUCUAGUACCUGAGUGACUUGUACACUCCAUGAUAAACAUAGAACCUAAUGAGAACUGUUGCCUAAAAAUGACACCAAGAGGUAUCAAUUCAAACAUUGACAAUUUCAGAAGGUUUGACAAAGGUUUCAGCCCACCCACCCACCAUCUGCAAAAAGAGCAAGCCUUAAGAAGGAAAACCUCUGAAAAUCCUGAAUUCUGAAAAUUCAGUACCAUAGCUAGGAUAACUGCCUAAUUCCCUAAAAUGGCAAAAUACUACAAUAUGUGGGUUACAAUUUUAAUACAGAUUACUAAUUGUAAGUACAGUAGUGGUAGUAAUUCCAGGCCAGUUAAUCCAGAAUGAAAUGUCAUGAUCAUGUAUAUGUCAUGUACUUGGUCUAGGAUUAAGAUUUUUAUUUCUUCCAGCCUAACAUCCUCUCUAUUUAAGAAGGUCUCCCCUCCAUCUUCCUUUCCACAUAUGCAGUACCUGACUGUUUUUAUAUAAAUGUCACAGCCGAGGGGGGCUUUGGCUAUGUCAUAAACUCUGAAUAAAAUUCUUUUUGUGCUGCUUCAGCAUUCUUGCGUUUGAGCCAGAGAGCUGUUUAGUUUAGAGAAAGGAAGUUAUGUGAAAAUAUAAAAUCAAGGUGAGCGAAUAAGGUAGAUUACCAGUGAAAGCAGUGUUUCUUAACCUUUUAUUGGCUCACAGGAACCUUUGAAAAUCUGAUGAAAGCUAUGGACCCCAGAAACCCCCCCAUACAAUUUUCAAAGCAAUGGGAAGGAAAUAGAAUACAUCUGUCUGUCUGUCGGUCUAUCUAUAUCUCAAGGUUAAAGGCAACUGAAUAUGAGAUACUAACCUUUUGCUGGGUGAAUGAUCUGGAGAUGUGAGGAUAAAACUACAUUGGCAACUCAAGUACCUUGCCAAAUAAGGAGUUGUGAUAAAAGUCAGCACAAUCAAUUGGUUAGGGCAUUGACCCGAUGUCUAGAAGUGUCAUCUUGUAUAAGUUAUUUCCCCUAAGCAUCAGUUGUGCUCAUCUGUAAAAUGGGAAUUGAGGUGUUCUUCUUCAUGGGCUUGUUAUGAAAAGCAAAUAAAAAAAUAAUGCUAUAUUUUUAUCCUACUUUUCAGACAAUGACAGCCUCUCAAAAUGACUCUCAUCAAUUGAAAGAGAGAAGGGUACUGCCACAAGGGUUAUAUAAAGAGACACAAAGGAAGAGAAGAGGUAGAGGAGAGUGGUCAGUCCUUCAAGGGCAGAACAAAAUGGUGAGUUACAUGGGAGUUAAUGUCCAGUUGCAUCCAGGCUCAAUUUCCCUCGUGAUGUUCUUGCUUGAAGAGCAGUUGGUGGCUUUAAUAGCAGUUGGUGCUGUUCCAGAGGUGUUCAACUGGCAGUUGGAGUCAAGUGUUCUUGGAAUCAAGACAAGGAGGAGGGCUCUUGGAAUCAAGACAGCUCCUCCCAAUGAAUGGGGCCAGGUUGAUCUCUCAUUUGCCAUGAUAUUUGUAAGCCGGAUGGCAGGAGGAGACUUCCAAGGAUUCCUUGGCUCAAGGCAAAGGUCAGAGUAUGCUAUCUUCAAAGCUGCUUCUUCUUCUUCUUCUUCUUCUUCUUCUUCUUCUUCUUCUUCUUCUUCUCUACAGAAGUCUGUGUCACCAACAAAUAAACCACUUGAAAGUUCACAGUAGGUAGAAUCUGCCUGCGAUUCUACAAUGGCUCCCAGGUGACCUUUAGAGAGGGGUCAGAAGCCACUUGCUCGGUGGGGUGAAGCCACAUCAAUAAUCUCCAGGCAGCAACAUCACUAGCACUUAGGAGAGGGGUGAGACAGUAGCAACAAUGGAGCUGUGUGGGCCCCCCAUUGGGAGCACUGGAUUGGCACUACCAGUCUGCCCAUGCAACCCCAACUUGGCCACCAUCUUCCCCUUUCCUCUCCCAGUAAGUGGCAGUGACACUGCUGCUGAGUGCCUACUGCUUUGGCUGUGCCCCAUUGGGCAAGCUGUCCCUGCUGAGGGUCACCAAUACAUUGGGUUGAAUCCAGACUAAUUUAGUUGCACUGAGAUUCCAUGGAUUUCAAAGCACAAGUCAUAACUAGGUUGUCCUGUUGCAUCUAACUUAGUCUAGAUCUGGCCCAUUGACUUUUGGAUGACCUGGAGAAUAUAUUGGCUAGGUAGCUAUUUUGUGUCUUGGAGAUGCUAACCCCCCACCCCUAUGCUUGAAGAUCCUGUAACAUAAAUCUUCUCCAAUGACAUUUACAAGCUUUACUAUCUAAGGCUGCCUAGUGGCUUCUUGCUUGAUAAGAGCGAGCUGACACACAUACCUUCAGUUGCUAUGUUACACCAACUUUCACUUGAGACAGCUGCACUUGGCUAUGCAACUAUGCUGUGUCCAGCUUGAAGGCUGUGUUGUUCACCUAUAUGCAAAAGAUCUGCUUAAUAAUAAUAAUACUAGUAAUUCAUUACAAAAGCACAAUGAGUUUAGAGGAUUUAUACAGGCUUCUCUAACAUUUGACAUAAAUAGACAUAAAUAAAUAGACAUAAAUAGGGCACCUGUACACUAUUUCCUGAAUUCAAUAGGUAAUUCUUGUAUAUUUACAGAGUCCCAAGAGCUUAGCCUUCUGUCUGUGAAAGUGGUAUGUAAACAGCUGGUCCGACGAAACUUCAUGUGCUAUGCAGUGAUAGCAACCACGCCAAGAGUAAUACAUUCUGAACUUUUGCUCUAGAAAACAACAAUUCUGCUCUUAUUUGAAGAAAGGGGAAUUAUAAGGCAAAGGCCUAGACACCAAGUUUACCAAAUGCUGAGUGACAACAUUAAAACAGCAGGUAACAAGAGACCUUUAAGUCAAAGAUUUGGCUGGCUAUUUCAAAUCAAUAUGUGAGCUUCAUCUUUCAUCCCUUCUACAGAUCCCUAGGCUUGUGCAGGUCUCUUUUCUGCCCCCACUCUCUUUCAGCUUUCCUUCUUUCCUCUGAAAUUAUUUUCCAGUUGUGUGCUUAGUUAAUUUCAGACUCUGCAUUUAAUAGUCUUGGAGGGACGCCCCCUCCUGCUGUGUGGUAGGUCAGUCCUGCCAUGUUUGGUGGCCCCAUCCUAUUCAUUCUACCCCAACCAAUUGCCCUGACAGCAGCUCUGUAGAUCUUCCUUUUGAUUUUCGAAUCUAGACUGCUGCAAUUUUGCAGACCACUCUCUUUCCCUAGAUACCUCUGCUUCUUCUGUUGAUUCUUCCUGCCUUGCUUUUCUGUAGGAUCAAGCUGUCCAGGCAAUGAUAGCUGGAUACACUUCUGCCUACUUUUCCAACCUGUGACAUUAGGAUAGCUCAUCCAAUCCCUAUCAGAGGCUUCCCUACUGUAACCACCACAACUAACAUAAAAGCAUUCCGUUGAAUUCAUCUCAGACAAGCAUGUACCAUAAAAAAAAAAAAUCAAAGGGAGAGGGGUGGGGCAAGAAGGGAAGAUGUUUCUUUCUUUUACCUUCUCUCUUUACACCCCUCCAAUUCCUGUCAAUGGGAACAACCCAUGGAGCUCCCUUGUUCAAGGAAGUCAUCACCAGUCUCAAGCAGAGAGGUUGUUGUGAGUCUCCCCAAAUUCCACUCCACUCAAUGGAGUUGAUGUGCAAGAGGAGCCAACAGGGACUUUGCUGCCCACAAGCAAACUGGAACAAGGUGUAAGGAAAUAGGCAUGCAUGUAUGUUUGCAAAUAAAAAGAAGAAAAUACUCCACCAGUGGGUGUCUUCAUGCUGCCAGUGAGCAUUAGAAGCAUCUACAGAAGUCUAGUGUUCCAAACAUGGGAAGUAAUAGUAUUGCUCUAUUCUGCCUUGGUCAGACCACACUUGAAGUACUGUGUCCAGUUCUGGCUUCCAUGAUUUAAGAAGGACAUUGAGAAGCUGGAACAUGUGCAGAGGAGGGUGACCAAGAUGCUCAAGGAUCUGCAAACCAAACCCUAUGAGGAACGGUUGAAGGAGCUGGGUAUGUUUAGCCUGGAAAAUAGGUGACUGAGGAGAUAUCUGAAGUAUCUGAAGGGUGUCACAUAGGAGAUGGAGCAAGCUUGUUUUCUUCUCUAGAUAGUAGGGACCAGACCCAUGGCUUUGCAUUACAAAAUAGGAGAUUAAACACCAGGAAGAACUUUCUGACAGUAAAAGCUGUUGACAGUGGUAUGGACUCCUUCAAGAAGUAGUGGAGUCUCCUUCCUUGGAGGUUUUUAAGCAGAAGUUGGAUGGCCAUCUGUCAUGGAUGCUUUAGUUGAGAUUCUUGCAUUACAGGUCUCUUCCAGUUCUACAAUUCUAUGAUUCUAGGAAAUGUACCAAAAUGCCUAUAAUAAUGUGUAUUCUAGGAAAAAUCCAUUUUAGAAAUGUGUAAUUUGAGAGAAAUUUUGUUUAGAAAUGUAUAUUUGUCAGCAAAUGUAAAUAUAAAUUUUCAUGAGCUUUUGGUUUUUUUUAAAGAAAAUAACAGAUUAAAGCAGAAAUGGAAUGGGACAGAAUUACAAAUGAACACCCGUGAACCUGACAGAGAGUGAUCCACUCAUUCCAAUGCUGAGUUAAUCUGACAAUUAACACAAAGCGUUUUUGGUGGUGUAAACUGACUGUUGAGUUUUGCCAAGGAAGCUUUUGCCAAAAAGAAAAAAGAAAGACCUUGACCAGAAUAAUCAUUUAGAGAAUUUUGCCCUUUUCUGUUACCUUGAAUCAUGAUCAGUAAAUGUCCACCUCUUAAAACAAACAA